GCAGUUUGUCAUGUGGUUUCUCAUGUGAUGCUGGGUCUGCAGCACUUGGGAGCAAGAGUCUUUGUGACUGGCACUCAUGGACAGACAGUGGUGUUCAGGGACAGAACAGAUUUUGGAGGGGGUGGGGAGGCCAAUAAACCAAGAAACGUCAGAAAUAAAAGUCGCAUGAAGUACUCUGAUCUCUGUAUUUCCUUUUUUUUUUUUUUUUUUUUGAAAUUUGAUUUUAACUCUUGCUUUUUUUUAUGGUUUGUGUCUGUUUUUUCCACCCCCGCUGGCGCCGAGCUGCGCUGUUUUGUGUUUCUUUUUUUUUUUUUUUUUCUAUUUUUUUUUUUUAAAUUCUGAAGCCAGACCGUCUUUCCUCACAGCUCCACGGCUGCAUCUCCGUGGGCACGCAAGCUUCCCCUGGUUACCUGAGCUGCUCCUGCCGUCUCCCGCCUGGGCUUCGCCGUGGUGCACCCGAUCCCGGAAUCGUGCGUCUGCGCCCUGCGAAAGAAGGACCUGCUGGCGGAGCUCCGGCCGGGGUCUCCUGCCUCGCAGCUGGGCGAGGGGACUUGGAGGACAGGGUGAAGCUGCAGAAGACCUGGGGUGGGAUGGCUAGAGAGGACGCCAAGGACUGGGGAAGGGGAAGUUAGGAAUACCUUACAUCCAAUGCCCACCCGUGCUCCGCAGGGCAAGGGCAGCCGUCGCCUCGGCCGCGUGCACCCAGCUCAGGCUGUUCCCAGGGAUUUAGUCUGGGGGGACAACCCAUGGCGAGAUGUGGUGGCAUUUUACCUCAGAGUGGAGCUGAAGAUGGAUAAACAAGGUAUCUGAUGUAUCUGCCUGAGAAGGCAGAGCUGGAGAAAGGCGGAGCGAGGGAGCGCGUGAAAAGAAAGAGAUGCCGAAUGCCGGGUGAUUGUCUGCCGCUUGCUGUGCAUUCUCAUUCUAGGGAGGAUGGCAUAAUUUAUAACCCAGCACAUGGAUAGAGGAACUGUAAAUUGUAGUCUGGAUGUCCCCGGCGCUGUCGACGAAGGAACUGAUGGGCUAGGUGACUGUACCAGUGUCCCCAGAGAAAAUCGCAGCCUCGCAGCAUGGAUUUAAAUGCAUGUGCAUGCAUGUAGAGACAUGAAAAAAGGUUUCUGACCAUUUUACACAGGAAGUCUGUCACUUUGCUGGAUCGGGCUUGAUUGCAGCUUGUGUUUUCAGCUCCAGUUCAACACCCAUUUCCUGACUAGUGAGACAGCAUGGCCAAAGCAGCUGCAUGCAGAAUUUUCUUUUUACUGUGAAAGCAAGCCCCCUCUGUUUUAACUCCUUCCAGUUCUGAAUGCUCUGUGCUUUGCUAGGACCGAUUGUGGGGUUUUGUUUUCUUCUUCUACAAAUCCCUGUAAACACAGCUGUAUUCAGUAAUGGCAAAAAAAUUCUAUCCUGUAAAUAGAAAUCUGAUCAAUUUAAUCAAAAUAAAUGUAUCCCAGAUGACUUUGAGACCA
rnacentral:lncRNA from 10 species